rnacentral:rRNA from 1 species
AUUCAACGCUGGCGGCAUGCUUUACACAUGCAAGUCGAACGGCAGCACGGACUUCGGCCUGGUGGCGAGUGGCGAACGGGUGAGUAAUACAUCGGAACGUACCCAGUAAUGGGGGAUAACUAUCCGAAAGGAUAGCUAAUACCGCAUACGCCCUACGGGGGAAAGAGGGGGAUCGCAAGACCUCUUGUUAUUGGAGCGGCCGAUGGCUGAUUAGCUAGUUGGUGAGGUAAAGGCUCACAAAGGCGACGAUCAGUAGCGGGUCUUAGAGGACGAGCGGCAAAACUGGAACGGAGACAGGGUCCAGACCCUUGCGGGAGGCAGCAGGGGGGAAUCGUGGACAAUGGGCGCAAGCCUGAGCCAGCAAUGCCGCGUGCGUGAAGAAGGCCUUCGGGUUGUAAAGCGCUUUUGUCAGGGAGCAAAUCCUUGUGUCUAUACCCACCGGGGAUGGGAGUACCUGAAGAAUAAGGACCGGCUAACUACGAGCCAGCCGCCGCGGUAAAAC